rnacentral:rRNA from 1 species
CUGCAGUCGAGCGACAGACGAGGAGCUUGCUCCUCUGACGUUAGCGGCGGACGGGUGAGUAACACGUGGAUAACCUACCUAUAAGACUGGGAUAACUUCGGGAAACCGGAGCUAAUACCGGAUAAUAUAUUGAACCGCAUGGUUCAAUAGUGAAAGACGGUUUUGCUGUCACUUAUAGAUGGAUCCGCGCCGCAUUAGCUAGUUGGUAAGGUAACGGCUUACCAAGGCAACGAUGCGUAGCCGACCUGAGAGGGUGAUCGGCCACACUGGAACUGAGACACGGUCCAGACUCCUACGGGAGGCAGCAGUAGGGAAUCUUCCGCAAUGGGCGAAAGCCUGACGGAGCAACGCCGCGUGAGUGAUGAAGGUCUUCGGAUCGUAAAACUCUGUUAUUAGGGAAGAACAAAUGUGUAAGUAACUAUGCACGUCUUGACGGUACCUAAUCAGAAAGCCACGGCUAACUACGUGCCAGCAGCCGCGGUAAUACGUAGGUGGCAAGCGUUAUCCGGAAUUAUUGGGCGUAAAGCGCGCGUAGGUGGUUUUUUAAGUCUGAUGUGAAAGCCCACGGCUCAACCGUGGAGGGUCAUUGGAAACUGGAAAACUUGAGUGCAGAAGAGGAAAGUGGAAUUCCAUGUGUAGCGGUGAAAUGCGCAGAGAUAUGGAGGAACACCAGUGGCGAAGGCGACUUUCUGGUCUGUAACUGACGCUGAUGUGCGAAAGCG